CAUCGCCUCUUGCUCAACUAUAAGAGGUCCAGCCUGCCCAGUGAUAUUAUUCAACGGCCGCGGUAUCCUAACCGUGCGAAGGUAGCAUAAUCACUUGUUCUCUAAAUAAGGACUAGAAUCAAUGGCGUCACGAGGACCUAUCUGUCUCCCCCCUACAAUCAGUGAAACUGAUCUCCCCGUGAAGAAGCGGGAAUUUAUCUAUAAGACGAGAAGACCCUAUGGAGCUUAAAAUGACAUUCAACUGUUUUUACUACAUCAUAACAAUAUUCACCACUGAACACUAAUUUUUGAUUGGGGAGAUCACGGAGCAAAACGUAGCCUCCACGAUGAACGGAACCGAAUCCUUAUCAAAGAGGUACACCUCAAAGAAAUAAUAUAUUAACAUUCAUUGACCCAAACUAUUUGAUCAACGAACCAAGUUACCCUAGGGAUAACAGCGCAAUCCGUUUCAAGAGCCCCCAUCGACAAACGGGUUUACGACCUCGAUGUUGGAUCAGGGUAUCCCAGUGGUGCAGAAGUUACUAAAGGUUCGUUUGUUCAACGAUUAAAACCCU
rnacentral:rRNA from 1 species